UUUUGUUCCGUAUUUUUUUUUUUGGUGUUUUUGUUGUUAUAUUUGUUAUUUUAGUUUAUGGAAAGGAAAAAGGGUAACUUGAGGAUGAAGCAUUUAUAUGUGAACAUUUUAAAAAUUCAGUUUUUAUUUUAUUAAACAAAAUAGAUAUACUUUAGUGCCACAGAGUUCUGGAAAGAAUUAUUUCCCUCUAUAUUAAGAGAAAACGAAUUAUUUCAAUGCUAUCAUAUUUCUACACUUCUUAAAUUCCAAAGUAAAACAAUGUAUGUAAUUUUUAUUGUGCAUGAAUACAAUUAGAAAAAAGUAUACUAACUUUUGAUUAUCAUAUGCUGAAAGAGAUACCUCGGUAUGACUCAAGUGAUAAUUUGUAAGUUUUAAACUAUCACGAGAUACAGACAGUGUAAUGAGUUUGUAUUUUGGUUGUGUUGUUGUUGAACAAUAUUAUAUAAAUAUAAAUUAGAAAACACAUACUCAGAAUAUGCUUAUAUGCUAUUUUAUUGCAUGGUUUGUGUGUGUGUUGUUUUUUUUAGAAUUAAAUUGUGGUAUUUAUUAUACAUGUAGAAUGAUUUUUGUACUCGUAGUUAAAAAACCUUUUUUAGUUUAUCCAUAAAUCUUGAUGUUUUUAAUUUAUGAACAUUUUUAGAUCUCUAUUUCUACAAACAAAUCGUUUAUUUGGUCAGAACCAAAGCAGAUUAAGCAUUAUUAAAUUGGAAUAUGCAGUAUCUUAAUUUAUAAUAGUUGUGACGGAUAGUUGGGAUAUUUUUACAAAUACGCAUGGAAUUUUUAUCCACAGAUAUAAUAAACGGAUUACAAAAUUC
rnacentral:sRNA from 1 species